CUAGGGGCGCGAUCAGAUGGUUCUCCCUUUACGGGGAGCGAAGAGGGAAGCCGGUGCGAUACCGGCGCUGUGCCCGCAACUGUAAGCCAGGAGCUUACGGCCACUUAGUCACUGGUGCCCAAACACCGGGAAGACGGCCGCAAAGCGACGAUCGGUGAGCCAGGAGACCUGCCAUCGCGUCGUUCACCCGU
rnacentral:ncRNA from 1 species